GUGAGGAAUAUUGGGCAAUGGUCGGAAGACUGACCCAGCCAUGCCGCGUGCAGGAAGACGGCCCUCUGGGUUGUAAACUGCUUUUAUCUGGGAAGAAAAAGGCCAUGCGUGGCAAAUUGCCGGUACCAGAUGAAUAAGCACCGGCUAACUCCGUGCCAGCAGCCGCGGUAAUACGGAGGGUGCGAGCGUUGUCCGGAUUUAUUGGGUUUAAAGGGUGCGUAGGCGGCUGAUUAAGUCAGCGGUGAAAGACUUCGGCUUAACCGGAGCAGUGCCGUUGAUACUGGUUGGCUUGAGUGUCGGAGGGGUACAUGGAAUUGAUGGUGUAGCGGUGAAAUGCAUAGAUACCAUCAGGAACACCGAUAGCGAAGGCAUUGUACUGGCCGACAACUGACGCUGAUGCACGAAAGUGUGGGGAUCGAACAGGAUUAGAUACCCGGGUAGUCC
rnacentral:rRNA from 1 species